UACGUAGGUGGCGAGCGUUGUCCGGAUUUACUGGGCGUAAAGGGAGCGUAGGCGGACUUUUAAAUGAGAUGUGAAAUACUCGGGCUCAACUUGAGUGCUGCAUUUCAAACUGGAAGUCUAGAGUGCAGGAGAGGAGAAUGGAAUUCCUAGUGUAGCGGUGAAAUGCGUAGAGAUUAGGAAGAACACCAGUGGCGAAGGCGAUUCUCUGGACUGUAACUGACGCUGAGGCUCGAAAGCGUGGGGAGCAAACAGG
rnacentral:rRNA from 1 species